UACCCCAUGUGUGUAAGGAGUGUGGG
rnacentral:piRNA from 1 species